UACGUAGGUGGCAAGCGUUGUCCGGAUUUACUGGGUGUAAAGGGCGUGCAGCCGGAGAGACAAGUCAGAUGUGAAAUCCACGGGCUCAACCCGUGAACUGCAUUUGAAACUGUUUCCCUUGAGUGUCGGAGAGGUAAUCGGAAUUCCUUGUGUAGCGGUGAAAUGCGUAGAUAUAAGGAGGAACACCAGUGGCGAAGGCGGAUUACUGGACGAUAACUGACGGUGAGGCGCGAAAGCGUGGGGAGCAAACAGG
rnacentral:rRNA from 1 species